rnacentral:lncRNA from 1 species
CUUGCUCUGAAGGUAUGAUGGUUGAUCUGGGCGCUCCUGAACAUCCUUGCCACAGGCCUCCUUUCUCAGAGCCCGCAGACAGACAGAAGCUUGGGAGAAAGCAUAGGUCACAGGAUUUCGAGGCUUCUUGAUGAACACAGAAACCAUAGCCCCUUGGAGAAGCUCUGCUGAGGAGAUCUUUCUAGCCUUUGUCUGCUCGCCCCUCGCAGCUGGUCUGCUCUCUGUGGAUCAUCGGGAGUCAACUUUUCUAUGUGUUUGCAUUGCAAGUGACAUCUGGCUGACAGGAACUUGGAGAAAUGGAAUCCGAAGUGAAUGCUGCAGUUACCACAAGCCUCAUAUUUAUCAAAAGGUUUAAGAUGCAGAAACAGAGAUGGAAACAUGGAGACCAUUGUGAAAUCUUCAAUAAAAAUACAGGUGGCCCUUGUUCAUUUCCUGAAAUGCGAAAUUUCAAUAAACUAGAAAAAUGGAAAGCAUUAGCCUGAUCUCCUGGAGAAAAAUGCUGUGUAUAUUUAUUUACAGUAGUUUUGAAUGUCUCUUUCAGUUUUGAUAACAGCAUAUUGGUAAUCUGCAAAUAUACAAUUAUAUUAAAAAUACCAUAUGAUCUCUUUUAAAUAAAAAAAUGCAAUGUUACUACUGGAUUUCCUAUGUAUUUAAACUAUUAAUAUGCAUAGUUGCUAAUGAAUUUAUAAUAAUCUGAUUAAUUUCAAUACCAUAAGUUAGCCUUUAUUCUAUUGGAAAAUUUGCUUUCUUCUCUAUUAUCUCUUGGUCAACACUGUGCUAGUAUCUCCUAAGAAAACAACAUUCAGGAGAGGAAGAUGACCUUCCAGGAGUGAGAUUUCAUGGCAUCAGGAGAUAUAAAGAAAGCAAGUAGCACUUAUUUGGAGUCUGCCACCAGGCUACAUUCUUUACAUGAGCUUUUUGCUUUACUGUCACAAAAUUCUGACUCAAGUGUGAUACAAGGAGGUAGGCUAUAGACUCAUCACAGUUGGGUACUUGUUCAACACUCAGCUUUGUCCAUAUGGGUGAUUCCCAAAGAUUAGUUUACCCUGCUGAUUCUCGGCAUCCUCACUUAUGAGUCAGGGUGAUACUAUCAUUCAUUUAUUUCAUAAUAUAGAAGAGUUGUUAAGAGAAGGUAUCCUGGUGGGCUUGAAGGAUCCAAAAGAAGUGUGACAAGGCAAGUGUCCUGUCUUUGAGGUAUUUAUGGUCCACAAGAAGAGGGAACAUGGAGGUGGUUUCCGACAGGUACUGGGGGUGACACAUUCUUCCAGGUUGAACUACCUUUCUGAUGAGAGUAAAAUGAUGAGAACUUUUGCUAGUCUCCUGCUAACCAAGCAGCUCCCGUGUCCUCUUACCUGCUAUGCUGAAUCCUACAAGCUAGUUUCAGUCCUCAUGCCUAGAAGAAUAAGUGUCUGCCCACAGCCUGGCAGGUACUUACCUAGGUACUUAAGUGCUUAAGAUAGACCACAGGUGACUGGAAUCUUCCAGGCUUCUUCCUUUUACGUGACCCAGCAGCCUUUGUGAGCAGGUGCUCUUUUAUCCAUCAGUGUCUACCUCUGGCACUAUGUUUUAUAACUUCAUUAAUCUGAAUAAAACUAUAGCUAGACUGCCUAAGGUGGGGGUGUUACAAGUGGACUAUAUUGUUAAGAAAUGCAGAAAACUACUGUGUAAUCAAAUUUUGGGCUUCCAUAUAUUAAGCCCCUCUCUAAUAAAACUUCCCAAAUCUAAAAUCAAAAUCAGAAUGCUCAGAGCUAAUGACAGCCUCAAAUGUUUCUCAUUUACCUACUACAAUGCUUCUGGCACCAUUAGAACCUCCAUUUUGAACCAGGAAGAUAAUUUGAGCCAAUUUUUACUCUCUCUCAUUUAUUAAAACUUUACCAAAAUGUAUUAUUUAGUUUCAUCAAAUGUAGAAGAGCAAAUGUAUUUUAAAAUGGAGCUUACAGACUUCAAUUUCAAAACAAAGAAUCUAUCCUUCCUGCUUUCUGAUGUAAUCAUAGAGUGUUGUAUCAGUUAGAUAUUGCUAUAGAACUGCUGCAUAACAACACUUUCAGAAAGUAGGUGGCUUGAAACAAUGAUUUAUGUAGCUUUUCAAUGCUGACUUCACUGGGAUUCCUCUAGCUUACCUGUCCAAAGCUAGUGUUGUUCUGCCCCAGGUGUCCUUUAUCAUCCUCUUGAAGCCUAUAUGCUGAUUUAGUUACAUCCUUCUCUGAAUUUUCACAGCUAGUCAGGGGCAGGCAGAGGAAAAAACUACCUCUGGUCUUUUCAUUCUGGUUUUGGUGUAUUUUAUUACUACUAUGGAAUUAAGUUUCGAAACUUCUCUUUGUAAAAUUUACAAACAAGAAAAAAAAUAAAUACUCAUCUUAUUUAAUCUUAUUUUACAAAUGCAACUGUUUCAAAGAAGGGUGGUUUUCCAUGCUCUUAUCAUGUUAAUUAUAAAAUUAGAGACGCUAGGACAAAGGUCCCUUGAGUCUUCAUUUCUCCUUUGUGCUUUCUGGUUUAGUCACUGGACAUACAUUCAUUGAAUAUCUGCUUUGGGCCAGACACUAUAUGAGCCUGAGUCUCUGUUGCCAAAGCACUAAGCCGAUUACUAAAAUGAAGAGAAAAGGAAGGUCACAGGGAUAUUUACAGUGGGACUCAAUGGGUGCCCAACCCUGAAAUUUACCAAAAAACAAGAUUCCCACUCCUGUAGCCAUCUAUUUCCAUCCAUCCAUAGGACAGAUUUUCUAUUUGGCACUGACCAAAUUGCCAGAAAUUGGGAGAAUGGGUUGGCCCAGGGGGCUGCAGGGCAGCUGUGCAGGCAGCCGGAGUCACACUCCUGAGGGGAAGGUGGGCAUCUAGCAUGGUUUGGCAGCUGUGUAAUGAUGCUGAAAUCAUACAGUUGCCAGGUCCCAACUGUAUUAGAGCUGACCUUAAGAUGGAUUGUGAAAACUAUUCAAAUAGAUCUCUCCUUCUGGAAAGUUUUCAGAGAAAAGGGGGAAGAAACAAUAAAAUGCCUGCAAUUUGCACCCCAUCCCGUACACAACCUCUACACCCUCCCCAGAACAAAGUCAUUAUCCCCAGUGGGUCCUGAAAGCCCAAGACUGAUGGGAAAGGAGAAAAACAUAGCCUUAAGCUUCUUGCAUGGCAACAAAACUGGUUUCUGGAUGGUGCCAGGCUCAUUGGGAGGAGGCAGAGGCUUGUCAAGGAAAGUUAGAGUCCAACUAGAGUGGGCACUAGAGGUGACCAACACAAGUCACACAACAGUCAUUUCCCUCACCACACAAAGAGAACGAUGCUACAAAAGUCCUGGCACAAAGAUGGUGCGCCAUGAAUAUGUACUGAGUGAAUGGGGAUCAAAUCGAUAUCUUAGCUAUCAUUGUCUAUUGUUUCCCUUGGUUUUGGAGAACAGUUAUUUACUCUCGACCUGGUAUCAUAUUGAUAAUAAAGCUUUAGUCUCAGUAUUCAACUGUUUAACUAAUACGCUUGAUUUCUCACUACACCAAAGCAUCAAGGAUAUGGUUACAAACUCUAUGUAAUUGUUAUUCUUCCCAGGCUUGCAGUCUGAUGACAGAAGACAGACACUAUUUUGAAUCUAAACUCUUUGCCCAGUAACUCCUUGACUGUGGGUUGAUUAUAUCUUUGUUCCUCGGUUUUCUCAUGUAUACAAGAGGUAAAUGAUAGCAUUUGACAUCUAUGAAACACUCAGUAGAUUAUCUUCCACUUAAUGAGCAGGACAAAAUUGCUUAUGAGGUUUAUCCACUCCGGAGAGGCAGAAGUGGAAAAGGCUCAUACACAGCUGUGAAGACUGGAGUCAGAUACUGAGAACCCAUUGAAGUGCCACGAAAGCAUGAGAGGCUUCUUAGAUUCCCCAUAAUUGCCAGGCAGAAACAGGAGUUCCCUGGAGCAAG